rnacentral:rRNA from 1 species
AGAUUGAACGCUAGCGGGAUGCUUUACGCAUGCAAGUCGAACGGCAGCGCGGACUUCGGUCUGGCGGCGAGUGGCGAACGGGUGAGUAAUAUAUCGGAACGUGCCCAGUAGCGGGGGAUAACUACGCGAAAGCGUGGCUAAUACCGCAUACGCCCUACGGGGGAAAGGGGGGAUUCUUCGGGACCUCUCACU